rnacentral:rRNA from 1 species
UACGUAGGGGGCGAGCGUUGUCCGGAUUUAUUGGGCGUAAAGAGCUCGUAGGCGGUUUCGUAAGUCGGAUGUGAAAACUCCAGGCUCAACUUGGAGACGCCAUUCGAUACUGCGAUGACUUGAGUCCGGUAGGGGAGUGUGGAAUUCCUGGUGUAGCGGUGAAAUGCGUAGAUAUUGGGAGGAACACCAGUGGCGAAGGCGGCUCACUGGACCGGUUCUGACGCUGAGGCGCGAAAGCGUGGGGAGCAAACGGG